rnacentral:rRNA from 1 species
GAUGAACGCUGGCGGCGUGCCUAAUACAUGCAAGUCGAGCGAACAGAUAAGGAGCUUGCUCCUUUGAAGUUAGCGGCGGACGGGUGAGUAACACGUGGGUAACCUACCUAUAAGACUGGGAUAACUUCGGGAAACCGGAGCUAAUACCGGAUAACAUUUAGAACCGCAUGGUUCUAAAGUGAAAGAUGGUUUUGCUAUCACUUAUAGAUGGACCCGCGCCGUAUUAGCUAGUUGGUAAGGUAACGGCUUACCAAGGCGACGAUACGUAGCCGACCUGGGCGGGUGUUCGACCACACUGGAAGUGAGACACGGUCCAGACUCCUACGGGAGGCAGCAGUAGGGAAUCUUCCGCAAUGGGCGAAAGCCUGACGGAGCAACGCCGCGUGAGCGAUGAAGGGUUUCGGCUCGUAAAACUCUGUUAUUAGGGAAGAACAAAUGUGUAAGUAACUGUGCACAUCUUGACGGUACCUAAUCAGAAAGCCACGGCUAACUACGUGCCAGCCGCCGCGGUAACAC